rnacentral:rRNA from 1 species
GAACGCUGGCGGCGUGCCUAAUACAUGCAAGUCGAACGGCUUUUCUAUGGAAGCUUGCUUCCACUGAGAAGAUAGUGGCGAACGGGUGAGUAACACGUGGGUAACCUGCCCAUAAGAGGGGGAUAACAUCCGGAAACGGGUGCUAAUACCGCAUAGUUUUCUUGAUUGCAUGAUUGAGAAAGGAAAGACGGCCUUUGUGCUGUCGCUUAUGGAUGGACCCGCGGCGUAUUAGUUAGUUGGUGAGGUAACGGCUCACCAAGACGAUGAUACGUAGCCGACCUGAGAGGGUGAUCGGCCACAUUGGGACUGAGACACGGCCCAAACUCCUACGGGAGGCAGCAGUAGGGAAUCUUCCGCAAUGGACGAAAGUCUGACGGAGCAACGCCGCGUGAGUGAAGAAAAGGUUUUCGGAUCGUAAAACUCUGUUGUCAGAGAAGAACAAGUUGGAGAGUAACUGCUCCAGCCUUGACGGUAUCUGACCAGAAAGCCACGGCUAACUACGUGCCAGCCGCUGC